rnacentral:rRNA from 1 species
UGAACAAGGUUUCCGUAGGUGAACCUGCGGGAGGGUCAUUACAGUAUUCUUUUUGCCAGCGCUUAAUUGCGCGGCGAAAAAACCUUACACACAGUGUUUUUUGUUAUUACAAGAACUCUUGCUUUGGUCUGGGCUAGAAAUAGUUUGGGCCAGAGGUUUACUAAACUAAACUUCAAUAUUUAUAUUGAAUUGUUAUUUAUUUUAAUUGUCAAUUUGUUGAUUAAAUUCAAAAAAUCUUCAAAACUUUCAACAACGGGUCUCUUGGUUCUCGCAUCGAUGAAGAACGCAGCGAAAUGCGAUAAGUAAUAUGAAUUGCAGAUUUUCGUGAAUCAUCGAAUCUUUGAACGCACAUUGCGCCCUUUGGUAUUCCAAAGGGCAUGCCUGUUUGAGCGUCAUUUCUCUCUCAAACCUUCGGGUUUGGUAUUGAGUGAUACUCUUAGUCGAACUAGGCGUUUGCUUGAAAUGUAUUGGCAUGAGUGGUACUGGGUAGUGCUAUAUGACUUUCAAUGUAUUAGGUUUAUCCAACUCGUUGAAUAGUUUAAUGGUAUAUUUCUCGGUAUUCUAGGCUCGGCCUUACAAUAUAACAAACAAGUUUGACCUCAAAUCAGGUAGGGCUACCCGCUGAACUUAAGCAUAUCAAAA